rnacentral:rRNA from 1 species
GAUGAACGCUGGCGGCGUGCCUAAUACAUGCAAGUCGAACGAGGUGCUUUUGUAGCAAUACGAGAGUAUCUUAGUGGCGAACGGGUGAGUAACGCGUUGGUGACCUGCCCCGAAGAGGGGGAUAACAGUUCGAAAGGACUGCUAAUACCCCAUGUGAUCUCCCGGAUUAGAUGCCAGUUGAUGAAAAGGCAUGUAUCUCGCUUCGGGAGGGACCUGCGUCCCAUCAGCUAGUUGGUAGGGUAAUGGCCUACCAAAGCGAAGACGGGUAGGGGGCCUGAGAGGGUGACCCCCCACACUGACACUGAAACACGGGUCAGACACCUACGGGUGGCAGCAGUAGGGAAUAUUGGUAAUGGGCGAAAGCCCGAACCAGCAACGCCGCGUGCGCGAUGAAGGCCUUCGGGUUGUAAAGCGCUUUUUGAGGGGAUGAAGAAGGACAGUACCCUCAGAAUAAGCCUCGGCUAACUACGUGCCAGCAGCCGCAGUAAAAC